UUGAUCCUGGCUCAGAACGAACGCUGGCGGCGUGGUUGAUACAUGCAAGUCGGACGGGAACGUUCCCUUCGGGGAACUAGUACAGUGGCGGACGGGUGAGUAACGCGUGAUCAAUCUACCCUCAGGAGGGGGAUAGCCACUCGAAAGAGUGGGUAAUACCCCAUAAGACCACAGUCUCUCAUGAGACAGAGGUAAAACAGUUGGGAUCUUCGGACCUUCUGCCUGAGGAUGAGAUCGCGUCCUAUUAGCUUGUUGGUAGGGUAAUGGCCUACCAAGGCUGUGAUGGGUAGCCGGCCUGAGAGGGUGGACGGCCACACUGGAACUGAGACACGGUCCAGACUCCUACGGGAGGCAGCAGUGCUGAAUUAUUCGCCAAUGCGCGAAAGCGUGACGGUGCGACGCCGCGUGCGGGACGAAGGCUUUCGAGCCGUAAACCGCUGUCAGGGUCUAGGAAACCGCAGUCGUUAAUAGCGGCUGUGCUGACCAGGCCCAAAGGAAGCACAGGCUAAUCUCGUGCCAGCAGCCGCGGGAAUACGAGAUGUGCAAGCGUUGUUCGGAAUCACUGGGCAUAAAGGGUGCGCAGGCGGCUUAGUAAGUCAGGGGUGAAAUCCCUCGGCUCAACCGGGGAAUUGCUUUUGAUACUGCUAAGCUUGAGAGCGAAAGGGGCAAGUGGAAUUCCAGGUGUAGCGGUGGAAUGCGUAGAUAUCUGGGAGAACGCCGAUGGCGAAGGCAGCUUGCUGGGUCGCUUCUGACGCUCAGGCACGAAAGCUACGGGAGCAAACACGAUUAGAUACCCUGGUAGUCCUAGCUGUAAACGUUGGGUACUAGGUUCCGGGAUUUCUGAUGAUUUC
rnacentral:rRNA from 1 species